rnacentral:tRNA from 1 species
GAAUACUGCACUGGCGAUGGCAGGCGGGGAACGCCUCGGUCCUAACGAGGAAGUUGCUGGUUCGAUUCCAGCCGGGAGUAUUUACCA